AGAAAGUUAGUCUAAUUAAGACAGUUGAUUUCGACUCAACAGAUUAUAGCUACAAUCCUAUAACUUUCUU
rnacentral:tRNA from 1 species